AGACCCUGGGGAAGAGGGACCAGUGGCCUCCCCCAGCCUCCAGGACAGCCGUGGUGAACAGUAAGACCUGGAGCAGGGAGUCAGGUGGACUGGCUCCCUGCCCUUACUUACUGGGUGACAUCAAACCUCUCUCAACCUCCAAGUCCUCAUUUGUAAAAAAUGGGUAGUUGUAUAGAGUUGCAGCAGGCAGAGAAGAGUGGGGAGGAUGUUCCAGGCAGAGGGAACCGCGUGACCAAAAUCAGAGCAUGAUGAAAGUAGAUGACGUGUGCCAAGGAUCAGAGGACUUUGGGGACUUCCCUGGCGGUCCAGUGGUUAGGACUCGGCGGUUUCAUUUCCGAGGGCGCGGAGUUCGAACCCUAGUUGGGGGACUAAGAGCCCGCAAGCCCCACGGCGAAGCCAAAAAAAUAAUCAGAGGAGUUUGGAGGGAUUGAACCGCAGUGGGGUGAGGUCUCCUGGUUCUGACAUAUGCAGACAACUGUGCAUCUGCUACCCCAGGACCGUACAGGACAGUCUCAUCACCCUAAAGAUUGGCUGGAGCAUCCCCUUUGUAAUCAACCUCGCCCCCUCCGCCAACCCAGGCAACCACUGAUGCUGAAUUGAAUUCUUAAAUGUAAAUUGAAUUCUAAAAAGUAAAAAUGUGGGGGAAGACAUUGUAAGCAGAUGGAACACCAAGACCAAAGGAUUCAAGACUGUUUUUAAAAACCAAUAAUCCAAAACUUCCUGCCACAGUACCUCAAAAAUUUGCAUGGAAAACAGUAGGUGGUCUGCAAAUAAAAUGUUGGCUGGUUGGCUGGUUGGUUGAAUAAAUGAACUGUAUGGUCUUGA